CAGUGCCUCGAGCCAAAUCCCUCUGAUGGCACUUUGCCACCAGCUGGUCUAGAGUGCAGCACUUGGUGUGGCAGCUCAGGAGGCCCCUCAGCCAGGGUCCAGCACUUGUCCUUUGAUUGUCCCACUUUCUAGGGGAAGGACACAGGCUCCCAGAGGUGAAGGGGUGUCAUGGUCACAGCCAGCGAGUGGAGGGACCAGAGCUCCGACUCUGGGGUGCAGGAUACCAGACGUUUGCUAGAACAGCAAUGACCAUCAUAUGGAUGAGUCAGCCGGCACCCUUCUUCCUGCUUGGUGGGAACCACCCGCCCAGGCCCAGCCCCUUCGCAGCUCCUGUUCUCAACUCUGAAGAGCGCCUGGUGUUGGCUGCAGCUGGAUGGCAUCUGGAGAGCCCUGCUUUGUUGCAUGGGAUGAGGGGCCUGUGGAGUGCUGCAGGCAGGGUGCCUGCUGUUCCCUGCUGUCCACCUGGUAACAAUGAGGGCAGGAGAGUCCCAGGAUCGCCAACCUUGGGAAGUCCAUGGCUGGAAGAAAGGGCCCUUGGGUCCACUGCACAGGAGCCUGUGGCAAGCACCGCACAAGAUGUCCUGGUGUCAGAAGCUGCCAGAUGCACCCAGGUCACCCUCCAGCUAUCUGCUGCAGGAAGUAGAUGUUCAGGUAUUGAUGGCUCAUUGUCACAUUUCAUGAAUGGUUUCACAAUCUUUGCAUUUCCCUCCUCUGUAUCUCCAUGUGCCGGGUGCUGGCUGGAACCCCUGGGGAAUUCUGGCAACACUGAUCCAGCCCCCCCAAUGCCAGGGAUAAUCCAUCCAGGCGCAACUUGGACACUAGGAGUUUUAAAAACGCCAUUGGGAAUUCUCAUACACAGGCAAAGUUGGGAAUCACUGAGGGAUCUUGAUAACCCUGAUGUCUGGAGAGUUACGAGUCACCGCCAGGCCCUGACUGUCCCAUGCAGCAGCCGGCCUUGCACCCUGGGAUGAAGGCCAGUGCCAUGUGGCCAGAUCGAAGCAGCCACGAACUGGGAGCAAGGACCAUGUCCAUUGGCUGACACACGCCGAGUGACCUGUGGCCAGGGCCAUGACAAGUGCACACCCACGUGAGGCUGCUGCUGUGUAGUCCCAGCUGGCACUGUCUGCAGCUGCUUCUCACCUCAGCAGCCACCUUUCUGUCCCUGUGGUUCCCUGUCCUGGCUCCCAUCCCUUUCCCUGCAGAACACCAGGCCUCAGCCCAGCAGCCCCUGAACCCCUCUGUGGCUCUAAGUUUCUGUAAAAAUUCAGUGCUUCUGAUCUCAGUGUACCCGAGGGAAUUGGACAUCCAGGAAUCGCAUAUUACAGGGGCUCGUGUGCACUGUGUUCCACUGGAGCUCACCAUCCCUGGGGCCAGGCUCCCGAACUGCAGGCACAAAGUCGAAGGAGAGUGCAGCCAGCAGCCAUGGCCGCUUUGAGGGAGCCUGCUCAGCUCUGCGUGGCUCUGACCCUGUGGCAUCCAGGGUGACCCCCAAGUGAAUGUGCCAGAAAUCUGACUGCUACACUGGCCAGAAUGGUCACGGUCCCAGAAGACACCAUUUCAAAAACGGUGGCCCUGAAUGUUGAAAUCCUGAAAACCGAAAUUCUACUAAAAAACCCCAAACCUCCCUGUUGUAUCUGGGAUCAUCUUUCAGGAAUCCUGGCCAGAUCCUCCCUUGGGCUCCCCCGAGGAGGCAGUGCACACCUUUCUCUGGCUCCAGCUUUGCAGUAGGGGUCGGCCUGGCCGCGGCUUGCUCUGCCUGGGGUUCUGCAUUGGUUUUGCAUCCCAGAGCAGCUGUAUUCAAAUCCUUCUGUUCCCAGAGUGAGUCUAGGCGUGUCUCUGACAAGGUCCCCAUUUUUUUCUGCCUAAGACAAAUUAUUUAACUAACAAAAUGAUUGUUUCUAUGUAGUAGGAAAGUCCUUCAAUGGCUCCGUCAACGAGUCCUUCAGGAUUCACAGCUCAUCUCCUCAGCUGAGGCUCUGCUCCUCUGGGGGAAGGUGGUGGUCAGGCCGCAACUCAGGGGCGCCUUCUACCAAGUGUGGGUCGGGUUUCACACAGAGGCUAAGCGAAGGGGCCCCUGGGAAACGUGGAGAAAACCACACAGCUUUUCUAUGGAAUCCAGAGACAGACGUGGACUGAUUUCCGUCAGUUCACUCAUUACCCAGUGGGGUACUUACUAUGUAGUUUUUGGGGGGUGGCUGGCAAUUGAACCCAGGACCUCACACUUCUGCCACUGAGCUACAUCCCAGCCCUGUUUUACUGCUGUUGAUAGUUGGAGCCUUGGGGUAUAAUUAUAGUAAUGGUCAGGAUGAGUCUUUUAAUCAGUGAACUUUGGACUCAUGCAAACUGUCAUCCUCCAUUAACAGGAAAUGACUUCAGCAGCAACGAACCCUUUGAGCUCAACCCUUGGCUCCUCAGAGGAACACUUCGCUGAGAACUACUUGCUGCUUUUAUUUCUACAUGAUCCUUUGUGGGGACGCAGCCUCCCCUGGGGCUCAAUUACAGUUUUACACCACACAUUUUGCCUGGAAAAGCACAAUGAGCCGCCUGUACAGGGCUCUAUCUGCACUGCACAGAAAUGUAGCCCAUACAUUUUUUUUGGGGGGGUACCGAGGAUCAAACUCGGGACCUUGUGCUUGCGAGGCAGGCAGCAGAACCACUGAGCUAAAUCCCCGGCCCCCCAUACAUUUUUUGAAACCAGAAACUGUGUGUUAUUUUGAAAGAUGAUUUGUAGGAGCCAGGAUCAUAAUCAUAGGAUGCGUUGGGAAGGAGCUACUAAAAGUGACAGCAUACAACAGGCCUUGAAAUCUCUGUUUGUCUGCUAUACCCACUCUAAAAUAACUGCAAUAAAAGGAUGGGAAAAUGUAGAAAUAUCCUACUCAUUAAGCCACAUGCCCUUAGGCUUCAACUGAACAUGUUUAAGUAGAAAGAAUAAUACCCAUUGUAUCAGUCAGCUUUCCUGUUGCUGGCACACAAUAUCUGACACCCACAAUUUAAAGGAGGAAAGGUUCAACUUGGCUCACAGUUUCAAGGGGUUGAGUCCAUGGUCAGCUGGCUCUAAGGUAGGAACAUCGUGGUGGGAGGGAGUGGCUAAGCAAAAAUGCUUAGUUUGUGGUGGCUGGUAAGCCGAGCAGGGGAACCAUACAAGAGAGGAAGUGAGGACCUACAUCAACUCUAAGGCUGUGCCCCACUCAGACACCCUCAGGAAUCUGCUCCACCUUUCCCCAGGUGGAUCCCAAAGCCAAUCAAGCUGACACUGCCCUCACCACCCCCACGCUCAUUAAUAACUGAUAGUUACACUGUAGUUACAAGGGCUCUUCAGGAAAGAGUAUCCGUGGUUACUAGAAAGAGCUACACAUUUAUGCUGGACGUGCUAUCUGGGAAAUUAGAAAUUCUUGCUGCUCCAAAGCCAGGCUGUCAAACUGGACACAGUCACUUCCACUUCUCCAGGGAUAUGCCCGGAGCCUGCAGCCUUGCCAGGGAUGAGCUCAGGGACAAAGGCUGCACCAUUUAUACAGCAAAACUGGUGACAAGCAAUGCAAUUUAAACUCUGUCCGCAAAACAGAGCCAUUGGAAAGAGGCGUGCACUCCAGAGUUCUUUCCCGUGGGAUCUCGAAACUAUCUGAAGUGUUCUGAAGGGGUCUCCCACCGAGCAGAGUUGGAGCCAGCCAGGGUCCCCAUUACCAGAUCUGUCAGGGCCCGGGUCUCUCCCUUAGCAAAUCCCCAUUAUGAUUAAAGACCGGCUGUGCUUCAGUUCUCUUUGGCUGCAGACUGGCUUCCUCACUACAGUCUGGAAUAGAGAACCUGUCAGUGUUGGUGAAGAAACACCCGUCCUCUUGUGGGCACUGUGGGCACUGCAGGCACGGCUUCCAU
rnacentral:lncRNA from 1 species